rnacentral:lncRNA from 1 species
UUCUUAAGGGACUUUUUUUGGUUAAUUUUCUCAAUGAUUUUUUUGAUUUCUUGAACUGCAUUCUAUUUUUUUUUUCUUUUGAGACAGGAUCUCACUCUAUCACCUAGGCUGGAGUACAUGGUGCCAUUAUAGCUCACUGCAACCUCCUGGGCUCAAGCAAAGCUCCCACCUCAACCUCUCCAGUAGCUGGGACUACAGUGGACUGAUGCAGAACUGAAACGGCCAACACAAGAAUCUUCAAGGACAAUUGCCUGGGAAUCCUGAGGUCUGGACAGCAACACCCAAAUCUCUUUUUCAUUAAAUCAUAAAAGAAAAUAGUGUAUGGAGAGAUUAAGGCCAGGCCUCUAGAGGAGGGUAAUAUGAGCAUAUAUUUGUAUAAUUAAG